rnacentral:rRNA from 1 species
AAAGGAAUAGACGGGGACCCGCACAAGCGGUGGAGCAUGUGGUUUAAUUCGAAGCAACGCGAAGAACCUUACCAGGUCUUGACAUCCCACUGACCGCCCUAGAGAUAGGGCUUUCCCUUCGGGGACAGUGGUGACAGGUGGUGCAUGGUUGUCGUCAGCUCGUGUCGUGAGAUGUUGGGUUAAGUCCCGCAACGAGCGCAACCCUUGAACUUAGUUGCCAGCAUUCAGUUGGGCACUCUAAGAUGACUGCCGGUGACAAACCGGAGGAAGGUUGGGAUGACGUCAAAUCAUCAUGCCCCUUAUGACCUGGGCUACACACGUGCUACAAUGGAUGGUACAAAGGGCUGCGAAGCCGUGAGGUGGAGCGAAUCCCAUAAAACCAUUCACAGUUCGGAUUGUAGGCUGCAACUCGCCUACAUGAAGCCGGAAUCGCUAGUAAUCGUGGAUCAGCAUGCCACGGUGAAUACGUUCCCGGGUCUUGUACACACCGCCCGU